UAGGUUCCGGUUCACGUCUUGCCAUAGGGGCAUGACGACCCGGGUCC
rfam:Bifidobacterium longum NCC2705, complete genome.